ACGGAAGGCAGCAGUGGGGAAUAUUGCACAAUGGGGGAAACCCUGAUGCAGCGACGCCGCGUGAGCGAAGAAGUAUUUCGGUAUGUAAAGCUCUAUCAGCAGGGAAGAAAAUGACGGUACCUGACUAAGAAGCCCCGGCUAACUACGUGCCAGCAGCCGCGGUAAUACGUAGGGGGCAAGCGUUAUCCGGAUUUACUGGGUGUAAAGGGAGCGUAGACGGCAUAGCAAGUCUGAAGUGAAAACCCAAGGCUCAACCAUGGGAUUGCUUUGGAAACUGUUAAGCUAGAGUGCAGGAGGGGCAGGCGGAAUUCCUAGUGUAGCGGUGAAAUGCGUAGAUAUUAGGAGGAACACCGGUGGCGAAGGCGGCCUGCUGGACUGUAACUGACGUUGAGGCUCGAAAGCGUGGGGAGCAAACAGGAUUAGAUACCCUGGUA
rnacentral:rRNA from 1 species